rnacentral:rRNA from 1 species
UACGUAGGGUGCGAGCGUUGUCCGGAAUUAUUGGGCGUAAAGGGCUCGUAGGCGGUUUGUCGCGUCGGGAGUGAAAACCCAGGGCUUAACCCUGGGCUGGCUUCCGAUACGGGCAGACUAGAGGUAUGCAGGGGAAAACGGAAUUCCUGGUGUAGCGGUGAAAUGCGCAGAUAUCUGGAGGAAUACCGGUGGCGAAGGCGGCAUCCUGGACCGGCAUUGACGCUGAUGAGCGAAAGCUAGGGGAGCAAACGGG